GACAGAGGUGCCGAGCGUUAGGCGGAAUCACUGGGCUUAAAGCGUGUGUAGGCGGACUUCUAAGUACCUUGUGAAAUCCCACGGCUCAACCGUGGAACUGCUUGGUAUACUGGUCGUCUUGAGCCACCUAGGGGCAACCGGAACAAACGGUGGAGCGGUGAAAUGCGUAGAUAUCGAGAGGAACACCUGCGGCGAAGGCGGGUUGCUGGGCUGAUACUGACGCUGAGGCGCGAAAGCCAGGGGAGCGAACGGG
rnacentral:rRNA from 1 species